CACACAGUAAACGAUAAUCACUAGGUGUCGGGUUCGUAGAGAAUUCGGUGCCGUAGCUAACGCGAUAAGUGAUUCGCCUGGGGAGUACGAUCGCAAGGUUGAAACUCAAAGGAAUUGACGGGGGCCCGCACAAGCGGUGGAGCAUGUGGUUUAAUUCGAUGCAACGCGAAGAACCUUACCCGGUCUUGACAUCCAUGGAAUCCUUCAGAGAUGAGGGGGUGCCGGUUUACCGGAGCCAUGAGACAGGUGC
rnacentral:rRNA from 1 species